rnacentral:rRNA from 1 species
GAUGAACGCUGGCGGCGUGCCUAAUACAUGCAAGUCGAGCGAACAGAUAAGGAGCUUGCUCCUUUGAAGUUAGCGGCGGACGGGUGAGUAACACGUGGGUAACCUACCUAUAAGACUGGGAUAACUUCGGGAAACCGGAGCUAAUACCGGAUAACAUUUAGAACCGCAUGGUUCUAAAGUGAAAGAUGGUUUUGCUAUCACUUAUAGAUGGACCCGCGCCGUAUUAGCUAGUUGGUAAGGUAACGGCUUACCAAGGCGACGAUACGUAGCCGACCUGAGAGGGUGAUCGGCCACACUGGAACUGAGACACGGUCCAGACUCCUACGGGAGGCAGCAGUAGGGAAUCUUCCGCAAUGGGCGAAAGCCUGACGGAGCAACGCCGCGUGAGUGAUGAAGGGUUUCGGCUCGUAAAACUCUGUUAUUAGGGAAGAACAAAUGUGUAAGUAACUGUGCACAUCUUGACGGUACCUAAUCAGAAAGCCACGGCUAACUACGUGCCAGCAGCCGCGGUAAUACGUAGGUGGCAAGCGUUAUCCGGAAUUAUUGGGCGUAAAGCGCGCGUAGGCGGUUUCUUAAGUCUGAUGUGAAAGCCCACGGCUCAACCGUGGAGGGUCAUUGGAAACUGGGAAACUUGAGUGCAGAAGAGGAAAGUGGAAUUCCAUGUGUAGCGGUGAAAUGCGCAGAGAUAUGGAGGAACCCCAGUGGCGAAGGCGACUUUCUGGUCUGUAACUGACGCUGAUGUGCGAAAGCGUGGGGAUCAAACAGGAUUAGAUCCCCUGGUAGCCCCCCCCGUAAACGAUGAGUGCUGAGUGUUAGGGGGUUCCCCCCCCUUAGUGCUGCAGCUAACGCAUUAACCACUCCCCCCUGGGGAGUACGACCGCAAGGUUGAAACUCAAAGGAAUUGACGGGGACCCGCACAAGCGGUGGAGCAUGUGGUUUAAUUCGAAGCAACGCGAAGAACCUUACCAAAUCUUGACAUCCUUUGAAAACUCUAGAGAUAGAGCCUUCCCCUUCGGGGGACAAAGUGACAGGUGGUGCAUGGUUGUCGUCAGCUCGUGUCGUGAGAUGUUGGGUUAAGUCCCGCAACGAGCGCAACCCUUAAGCUUAGUUGCCAUCAUUAAGUUGGGCACUCUAGGUUGACUGCCGGUGACAAACCGGAGGAAGGUGGGGAUGACGUCAAGUCAUCAUGCCCCUUAUGAUUUGGGCUACACACGUGCUACAAUGGACAAUACAAAGGGCAGCUAAACCGCGAGGUCAUGCAAAUCCCAUAAAGUUGUUCUCAGUUCGGAUUGUAGUCUGCAACUCGACUACAUGAAGCUGGAAUCGCUAGUAAUCGUAGAUCAGCAUGCUACGGUGAAUACGUUCCCGGGUCU